GGCGCAGCCUGAUGCAGCCAUGCCGCGUGUGUGAAGAAGGCCUUCGGGUUGUAAAGCACUUUCAGUCGUGAGGAAGGUGGUGUAGUUAAUAGCUGCAUUAUUUGACGUUAGCGACAGAAGAAGCACCGGCUAACUCCGUGCCAGCAGCCGCGGUAAUACGGAGGGUGCGAGCGUUAAUCGGAAUUACUGGGCGUAAAGCGCAUGCAGGUGGUUUGUUAAGUCAGAUGUGAAAGCCCGGGGCUCAACCUCGGAAUUGCAUUUGAAACUGGCAGACUAGAGUACUGUAGAGGGGGGUAGAAUUUCAGGUGUAGCGGUGAAAUGCGUAGAGAUCUGAAGGAAUACCGGUGGCGAAGGCGGCCCCCUGGACAGAUACUGACACUCAGAUGCGAAAGCGUGGGGAGCAAACAGGAUUAGAUACCCUGGUAGUCCACGCCGUAAACGAUGUCUACUUGGAGGUUGUGGCCUUGAGCCGUGGCUUUCGGAGCUAACGCGUUAAGUAGACCGCCUGGGGAGUACGGUCGCAAGAUUAAAACUCAAAUGAAUUGACGGGGGCCCGCACAAGCGGUGGAGCAUGUGGUUUAAUUCGAUGCAACGCGAAGAACCUUACCUACUCUUGACAUCCAGAGAACUUUCCAGAGAUGGAUUGGUGCCUUCGGGAACUCUGAGACAGGUGCUGCAUGGCUGUCGUCAGCUCGUGUUGUGAAAUGUUGGGUUAAGUCCCGCAACGAGCGCAACCCUUAUCCUUGUUUGCCAGCGAGUAAUGUCGGGAACUCCAGGGAGACUGCCGGUGAUAAACCGGAGGAAGGUGGGGACGACGUCAAGUCAUCAUGGCCCUUACGAGUAGGGCUACACACGUGCUACAAUGGCGCAUACAGAGGGCGGCCAACUUGCGAGAGUGAGCGAAUCCCAAAAAGUGCGUCGUAGUCCGGAUUGGAGUCUGCAACUCGACUCCAUGAAGUCGGAAUCGCUAGUAAUCGUGGAUCAGAAUGCCACGGUGAAUACGUUCCCGGGCCUUGUACACACCGCCCGUCACACCAUGGGGAGUGGGCUGCAAAAGAAGUAGGUAGUUUAACCUUCGGGAGGACGCUUACCACUUUGUGGUUCAUGACUGGGGUGAGCGAAA
rnacentral:rRNA from 1 species